ensembl:misc_RNA Metazoa_SRP Metazoan signal recognition particle RNA
GCCAGGCGUGGUGGCGCAUGCCUGUAACCCCAGCUACUUGGGAGGCUGAGGCAGGAGAAUUGCUUGAACCUGGGAGGCAGAGGUUGCAGUGAGCCAAGAUCACACCACUGCACUCCAGCCUGGGUGACAGAGCAAGACUCUGUCUUUU